rnacentral:rRNA from 1 species
UACGUAGGGCGCAAGCGUUUGUCCGGAAUUAUUGGGCGUAAAGAGCUCGUAGGCGGCUUGUCACGUCGGGUGUGAAAGCCCGGGGCUUAACCCCGGGUCUGCAUUCGAUACGGGCAGGCUAGAGUGUGGUAGGGGAGAUCGGAAUUCCUGGUGUAGCGGUGAAAUGCGCAGAUAUCAGGAGGAACACCGGUGGCGAAGGCGGAUCUCUGGGCCAUUACUGACGCUGAGGAGCGAAAGCGGUGGGGAGCGAACAGG